AGGAUGUCACGCAUGUUGUGUGGGAAACAUUGCGGGGUGUUUGGUUUGCCUUGCACACACACGUGCGUUUUCUUCUCCCUAUUCCUCAUGUUAAAAUAAACAUGGUUACAAGUCUGCAAGUAGCACACACGCAGCCCGGCGCCAACCUGCUCCGGUUUUAUGCCACUCAUGACCAUCUCCGGCAUCUCAACUCGCACAUUUGAUGAAACAGAACUCCCACGCAGAUAUAGCCACACGGCAAACUACUGGAUCACCACCUAACCUAGGUGCAAAGCCAAAAUACAUAUGCAGAUACACAAGUAGUAACGAUUAAAGCUAACACCCGUGUC
rnacentral:lncRNA from 1 species